CAUGUGUUGUUGUUGUUGUUGAUCAGACUACCAUUGUAUAUCUCUUCAUUUCUACCAUGGACAGAUAUGUAAUGGAGGAUAUAUUCUUGUUUUACGCACUACUUUCGUAUGUAUUACUAGAUGGCUUACACCCUUCUUUCAGAGAUAUACGAAGGGGACAAAUGGUAGAAUUUUGUGUGCUAUGUGCUUAGUUUGUACUCCACCCGGAUUAAAGUGCACAAGCUGCUGGCCCUUGAAUAACGUAUGACAUGAUGCAGUACAAUCCACUAUCGCUGAGAGCUCCGUUCCAUGGUGGGCUAUGUCAAAAUGAUCAUGCUCUUUGGGAAUGAGACAGGGGCUGGUGACACAUUGCAAAGAAGUUUGUUCUCUAAAGCCUUUAGAAUGAGGGAACUCGGCCAUUUCUACCUAUCAUUUUGUCAAGGGAUCAGCAAUGAAAUUGAUAAUUACGCCAAGAUAGUGGCACAUAAGAAGAUGGAUUUUGGGAACACAUCCUCCAGACUGGCGGUGGCGACCGCGAUGGCGCAUCGACGAGCUUGACGAGAUGGCACAUCGACAUGCAAAAAGUCAUGGGGACUCCCGCUGUUCCUGAGGGGUUGCGUGAUGCGGCCAUGGGGCGGCGGCGGUGCACACAUCAGACGUAUCCGGCUGUGCGCACUGAUGAUGUUGAGCCUCCGUGACCUCUAGGACCCGAGCAAGGCCAGCAGUGAUAGACGUGAACGUCAGGAUCAUUGCGGUGUGAGGUGUCGCCUUUUUGUGACGUGGUGGCCGCAAGUUGGAGCAAGCGCAUGCGAGCUGGGUGGUGCUAGACGACACUAGCUUACUUUCUUUGGUGUUCCUGAUGGUCUCCAAUAAUGCCCAGCGAGUUCAUUGUUAUCUAGGCAUAUGUAUUUGAUCUCCCUCUACUGCCGCAAAUCUCACCCUACCUGAUGCAAGUAGAAGAGAAUAAGCACAGCUACAGAUUAUAGAAGGUGUGCUGCUGUCGGACGUUGUCUAUAUAUGAUUAUUUAGCGACCCACGAGAUGUUUGAUGAAAUGAUUGUAUGAUAUUACCAAACAGCAGAGCUCUCUGGCUCUGCAUAUAUUUGGUGAUGAUUUUAGUGGGUCACAAGAUGUUGGCAGUCGUUGGGUUCUGUAUUCUACGAAAUAGCAGCAGCUUAUAUUAUCUUCAGUUA